CUCCCAGGUGCGCUUCCCUGCUUGAUCUGUGUACCCUGCUCUUUCUCCUUCAUUCCGCAGCCUCCUUUGCCCUGUGACCUGCAGGUACUGGACGGUCCCUAGAGAGGAUACCGGGACGCUCCUGAAGCCGCGAGAUGGAUGGGUCUUCCAUGAUACUGAAGGGAGAGCCACAUGUUGAUGCCCAGGACCAGCUGCCUCCUUGGUCUGAAAGGCCUGAUCGAGGCCAGGAUUGGCUAUGAGAGCUGGGAAAUGGGACCAUCUUUGAAGCCAUGGGAGAGGGUGAGAGCCACCAUCACUCAUGUUCUUGAAUGGGAACUGCCUGGAGACCCUGAAGAAGAAGGAGCCUGAAGGAGGAAGGAGGAGGCUGAGCCAUCCCGGGAACAUGGGCUGGAUGAGGCCAAGCCAGGAGACGACACCACCAGAUAGAAGUCACCAUUCAGGAUUUGGACUUUUCUGUGGAGAUCCUGGCCCCGAGAUCGAACCCUUCUCCCUGUGGGUGUUCCCGCAGGAGAUGGUGCUGGAGAUCCACCAGCUGUUCAUGGACCAUGAAUACCCAUGUCACCACAUCACUUCUCACUGCACCUGGGUGGCAGCACACUGGACCACGUCUCAGAGCUGCGCAGCAUGGCAGGGCUGCAGGCGGGCUUGCUGCUCCACGUGGUGGAAGAGCCCUGCACAAUGCACAAGGCCCACGGUGAUGAGUGCCACAUUUGAGACUGCUCAGGAGCCUGGACCCAGCUGAUGCAGCUCCUUGUCCUUCCUGAGCGUCUUCACUGACAGUGGCCUGAGAGACGGCAGGAGCAGAAAGACUUGGAGAUGGACCCCACCGACUGCACACCACCCAAGUACAUCCUGCUAGGGACCCUGGAACAGCCACUGUGUCCCCUGCAACCCCAGAACGGUGACUAAAAGCCCCUGAAAGUGCUCACCGUGAGCGGCUGGUACCUGUCCCCUGGGAACUGCAAGAUGCACAGGACCUUGUGUACCUGUUUGUGAUCACAGCCGAGGACCAGCGAGGUAGCAUUACCACAUCCACACAGGGCUUUUACCAUAACUGGUGAGUCCCUGCCAGCCUACCAGGGGCACCCACUCAGGGACCACCCUCUUCUUGUAGGUCUCCAGCCUGUCACUUCAACCCCAA
rnacentral:lncRNA from 1 species